AUUGAACGCUGGCGGCAUGCCUUACACAUGCAAGUCGAACGCGAAAGGGGGCAACCCCGAGUAGAGUGGCGAACGGGUGAGUAACGCAUCGGAACGUACCCUGGAGUGGGGGAUAACCUAGCGAAAGUUAGGCUAAUACCGCAUACGCUCUUCGGAGGAAAGUGGGGGACCGCAAGGCCUCACGCUCAAGGAGCGGCCGAUGUCCGAUUAGCUAGUUGGUGGGGUAAAAGCCCACCAAGGCGACGAUCGGUAGCUGGUCUGAGAGGAUGACCAGCCACACUGGGACUGAGACACGGCCCAGACUCCUACGGGAGGCAGCAGUGGGGAAUUUUCCGCAAUGGGCGAAAGCCUGACGGAGCAAGACCGCGUGGGGGAGGAA
rnacentral:rRNA from 1 species